rnacentral:rRNA from 1 species
CAGUCGAACGAGAGACCUUCGGGUCUCUAGUGGCGAACGGGUGAGUAACACGUAGGGAACCUGCCCGCGCACCGGGAAUACGCUCUGGAAACGGAGAACAAAUCCCGAUGUACAGGAAGGAGGCAUCUUCUUUCUGUGAAACAUCCUUUAGGGGAUGGGGCGCGGAUGGACCUGCGGUGCAUUAGUUGGUUGGCGGGGUAAAGGCCCACCAAGACGAUGAUGCAUAGCCGGCCUGAGAGGGCGGACGGCCACAUUGGGACUGAGACACGGCCCAGACUCCUGCGGGAGGCAGCAGUAGGGAAUUUUCGUCAAUGGGCGCAAGCCUGAACGAGCGAUGCCGCGUGAGUGAAGAAGGCCUUCGGGUCGUAAAGCUCUGUUGCGGGGGAAAAAAGGCAGCAUCAGGAAAUGGGUGCUGACUGAUGGUGCCCCGCCAGAAAGUCACGGCUAACUACGUGCCAGCAGCCGCGGUAAUACGUAGGUGGCGAGCGUUAUCCGGAAUGAUUGGGCGUAAAGGGUGCGCAGGCGGUCCUGCAAGUCUGGAGUGAAACGCAUGAGCUCAACUCAUGCAUGGCUUUGGAAACUGGAGGACUGGAGAGCAGGAGAGGGCGGUGGAACUCCAUGUGUAGCGGUAAAAUGCGUAGAUAUAUGGAAGAACACCAGUGGCGAAGGCGGCCGCCUGGCCUGUUGCUGACGCUGAGGCACGAAAGCGUGGGGAGCAAAUAGGAUUAGAUACCCUAGUAG